rnacentral:lncRNA from 1 species
GACAGUGGGGAGAUCAUUUCUUGUUUGAACUGAAUCCAUUGUGUAAGUAUCCACUUUCUCUACCUUGAGGGAGAUGAAAGUUCUAGCUAUAUUAAUAAAACUGACCUGGUUUUCUUUCUCUAGGAAUCAAGACAGAGGGAUUGUACCGUACCGUGGGCAGCAAUAUUCAGGUUCAGAAGCUGCUGAAUGCCUUUUUUGUUUGCAAGGGACUUGGAAAGGAUCAAGUUGAGUCCAUUUGAUGUCCAGUGACAGCACUGGGAAGACGUGACAACACAGGCUGGAAAAGAAAAAUUUACACAAGUGAGGAUUUUUUUUAAUUGUGAAAAAAUGGAAGAAAUAAAAAUCA